CUACAACAUGUUUGGACAUUUCAAAUUCUGCAUCACUCUGGUUGGAGGAUACUUGAUCUUCCAUGACCCGAUAUCAAUCAACCAGGCGUUGGGGAUCCUCUGCACUCUGGCUGGUAUUUUGUCUUACACUCACUUCAAGCUGGCCGAACAGGAGGAGGGGAAGAGUCGCCUCACUCAAAGACCAUAGGCUGACGCACCUGUCAAUCAUCUGCACGGACUCCUGCCAUUGGCCAACGCCUGCAGAGAACUCUUUAUAUAUAUAUAAAAAAAAAUAUUUUUCUAGAAGAGUGAAGAUUUUCAUCGCUGUUCACCGACAUUUCAACGCUUUUCACGUGGAUUUUUGAUCAACAAAAGUAAUUUUUUAAAGGGAAACUGGAUGCUGGGAAUAGAAGGCGUUCUUGACUUAAUGAGACUUUAAAAUGCAAAGCACAUAAAUGAACAUUUUUCAAACUGACUUUAAUUCGAAACCACAGUUUUUUUCAUGCAAUCAAUUAUUGUAUUGAGACAAUAGUCCAAUUACUUUCAAGCUGUUCCUGUAUGUUAUUCAUCAAUCAAUCAGUAUUUUCUACACUUUUGAGCCAAAUAACAAAUAACGUCACCGAUCAAAAGCUAAUAAAUAAUAAGUUUAACGGUUUCACAGUAUUUUAGUGACUAUCCUGCUGUUAGUCUCCUUCAGUGUUAUUUUAAUUUAUGUUUUCCUAAUUUGUUCACAUGUUUGUAUCAGUUCUUUCUACAGGAAGUGAUGAGGAUUUCCAUCAUUCCCACCUAGCUGUGAUUUCUACUUCAGAUUACAAAACGUUAACAAUUGUCAUUUCACUUCACCGUGUUGAACAUGCUCGGCCUGCUGAAUAAAAACUGAUGUAAUGACA